UUCUUGUGGCUCAGUCAGUAAGAACAUUGUGCACACAAUGCAAAGGUCAUGGGUUCAAACCCCAGGGAAA